rnacentral:rRNA from 1 species
UACGUAGGGUGCGAGCGUUGUCCGGAAUUAUUGGGCGUAAAGAGCUCGUAGGCGGUGUGUCACGUCGGCCGUGAAAACCUGCAGCUUAACUGUGGGCGUGCGGUCGAUACGGGCAUCACUGGAGUUCGGCAGGGGAGACUGGAAUUCCUGGUGUAGCGGUGAAAUGCGCAGAUAUCAGGAGGAACACCGGUGGCGAAGGCGGGGUCUCUGGGGCCGAUACUGACGCUGAGGAGCGAAAGCGUGGGGGAGCAAACAGG